GACGAACGCUGGCGGCGUGCUUAACACAUGCAAGUCGAACGGAAAGGCCCUGCUUGCAGGGUACUCGCGUGGCGAACGGGUGAGUAAAACGCGGGUGUACCCCCCCGCACUCUGGGAUAAGCCUGGGGAACAGGGUUUAUAACCGGAUAGAAGCGCUUCUGCGUGAGGUGGUUGGAUGGAAUUUUCGGUGUGGUGUGAGCGGGCGGCCUAUUUGCUUGCUGGUGGGGUAAUGGCCUACCAAGGCGGGGACGGGCGGGCGGCCUGGGAGGGUGGACGGCCACAUUGGGACUGGGAUACGGCCCAGACUCCUACGGGGGGCAGCAGGGGGGAAUAUUGCACAAUGGGCGCAAGCCUGAUGCAGCGACGCCGCGUGGGGGAUGACGGCCUUCGGGUUGUAAACUCGUUUCGCUAGGGACGAAGCUUUUUGUGACGGUACCUAGAUAAGAAGCACCGGCUAACUACGUG
rnacentral:rRNA from 1 species